GAUGAGGUGACCCAGUGGUUAAGGGGAUGGACUCUUAAUCCAUUGUGCCAUGCACGCGUAGCUUUGAAUCCCAUCCUCAUCU
rfam:TPA: Bos taurus chromosome 12, whole genome shotgun sequence.